rnacentral:rRNA from 1 species
CAGUCGCCACGGGAAUACGAAGGGGGCUAGCGUUGUUCGGAAUUACUGGGCGUAAAGCGCACGUAGGCGGACUUUUAAGUCAGAGGUGAAAUCCCGGGGCUCAACCUCGGAACUGCCUUUGAUACUGGAAGUCUUGAGUGUGGAAGAGGUAAGUGGAAUUGCGAGUGUAGCGGUGAAAUGCGUAGAUAUCGGAAGGAACACCUGUGGCGAAAGCGGCUCACUGGACAAUAACUGACGCUGAUGCACGAAAGCUAGGGGAGCAAACAGGAUUAGAUACCCCGGUAGUCCCUGUCUCUUAUAC